UCUGGUUGAUUCUGCCAGUAGUCAUAUGCUUGUCUCAAAGAUUAAGCCAUGCAUGUCUAAGUAUAAGCAAUUAUACAGCGAAACUGCGAAUGGCUCAUUAUAUAAGUUAUCGUUUAUUUGAUAGUACCUUACUACUUGGAUAACCGUGGUAAUUCUAGAGCUAAUACAUGCUGAAAAUCCCGACUUCGGAAGGGAGGUAUUUAUUAGAUUAAAAACCAAUGCCCUCUGGGCUCCUUGGUGAUUCAUAAUAACUUUUCGAAUCGCACGGCCUUGCGCCGGCGAUGGUUCAUUCAAAUUUCUUCCCUAUCAACUUUCGAUGUUUGGGUAUUGGCCAAACAUGGUCGCAACGGGUAACGGAGGGUUAGGGCUCGACCCCGGAGAAGGAGCCUGAGAAACGGCUACUACAUCCAAGGAAGGCAGCAGGCGCGCAAAUUACCCAAUCCCGAUUCGGGGAGGUAGUGACAAUAAAUACUGAUACAGGGCUCUUUUGGGUCUUGUAAUUGGAAUGAGUACAAUUUAAAUCUCUUAACGAGGAACAAUUGGAGGGCAAGUCUGGUGCCAGCAGCCGCGGUAAUUCCAGCUCCAAUAGCGUAUAUUAAAGUUGUUGUGGUUAAAAAGCUCGUAGUUGAACCUUGGGCCUGGCUGGCCGGUCCGCCUCACCGCGUGUACUGGUCCGGCCGGGCCUUUCCCUCUGUGGAACCUCAUGCCCUUCACUGGGUGUGGCGGGGAAACAGGACUUUUACUUUGAAAAAAUUAGAGUGCUCCAGGCAGGCCUAUGCUCGAAUACAUUAGCAUGGAAUAAUAAAAUAGGACGCGUGGUUCUAUUUUGUUGGUUUCUAGGACCGCCGUAAUGAUUAAUAGGGACAGUCGGGGGCAUCAGUAUUCAAUUGUCAGAGGUGAAAUUCUUAGAUUUAUUGAAGACUAACUACUGCGAAAGCAUUUGCCAAGGAUGUUUUCAUUAAUCAGGAACGAAAGUUAGGGGAUCGAAGACGAUCAGAUACCGUCGUAGUCUUAACCAUAAACUAUGCCGACUAGGGAUCGGACGAUGUUAUUUUUUGACGCGUUCGGCACCUUACGAGAAAUCAAAGUGCUUGGGCUCCAGGGGGAGUAUGGUCGCAAGGCUGAAACUUAAAGAAAUUGACGGAAGGGCACCACCAGGGGUGGAGCCUGCGGCUUAAUUUGACUCAACACGGGGAAACUCACCAGGUCCAGACACAAUGAGGAUUGACAGAUUGAGAGCUCUUUCUUGAUUUUGUGGGUGGUGGUGCAUGGCCGUUCUUAGUUGGUGGAGUGAUUUGUCUGCUUAAUUGCGAUAACGAACGAGACCUUAACCUGCUAAAUAGCCUGUAUUGCUUUGGCAGUACGCCGGCUUCUUAGAGGGACUAUCGGCUCAAGCCGAUGGAAGUUUGAGGCAAUAACAGGUUGACCUACACAGGCCUGUCACAGUGGUCCUCACUAAAAUAUCCGCUAGUCGAGCGCAUUCACCUCUGUUGGGAAAGCUCCCUUUUACUGGGCAGAGGAGACGGCCGCCGCCGUCUUUGCGUCGGCGACACUACCUGGUACAGGGGACGCCUGAAAGGGCCGAUCCUGUGGCGAGCUCGGGUCGCGCCGAGCCGUCGCAACGCACGCUAAGGAGUGGGCUAGGAAACUAGCUUAAGGUACGUGCUAAUCCCACGGGCAACCGUGCUCGAUCGAAUAGGCCCAGUAAGCCGAAGCGAUCGGGGCUCUUGGGUAGUUCC
rnacentral:rRNA from 1 species